rnacentral:tRNA from 1 species
GGAGGUAUGGUUUGGCAGUAGAGCACCUGCUUAGCAAGCAUGAGGCCCUGGGUUCAAACCCUAGUGCUGCCA